rnacentral:misc_RNA from 1 species
CGCACAUUGCGCCCUUCGGUAUUCCGUUGGGCAUGCCUGUUCGAGCGUCAUUUAAACCUUCAAGCAUAGCUUGGUGUUGGGUGCUUGUCCUCCCCCGUGGUGGACUCACCUCAAAUGCAUUGGCGGCCGGUAUGUUGGCUUCGAGCGCAGUAGAACGCGCCUGGCGUCUUGACGUACUGGUCCUCCACAAGACCUUCUUAAGCUUGACCUCGGAUCAGGUAGGGAUACCCGCUGAACUUAA